CUUUUUAGGGCUACUCAUGUGGCAUAUGGAAGUUUCAGGGCUAGGCAUCGAAGCAGAGCUGCAGAUGCCAGCCACAGCCACAGCCAUAGCAAUGCAGGAUCCAAGCCACAUCUGUGACCUACACCACAGCUCAUGGCAAUGCCAGAUCCUUAACCCUCUGAGCGAGGCCAGGGAUCAAACCUGCGUCCUCACCUCCUUCCAUAUGCUGCAGGUGUGGCCCUAAAAAAAGAAAGAAAAUAAUGAGAAGCUACGUGGAGUCAGGCUGAGGGAGAGGCCAGCAAGUGCCAGUUGUUAGAAGGUCAGGGGAAAAGUGAAGUUCAAGACAAAAAGUGAUGCUGAGCUCAUCUGCGCCUCAGUCAGCUCCGGCAGCUUCUCCUAGAAGGUGCAACAGAGUCAUUCUCUUCUGAAAGCACACUGACAUGUGUUCGGGGUGGAGAGUGGUUUAGAAUAUUCAGGAGUUCCUGUUGUGGCUCAUCAGUAACGAAUCCGACUAGUAGCCAUGAGGAUGUGGGUUCGAUCCUUGGUCUCGCUCAGUGGGUUAAGGAUCUGGCAUUGCUGUGAGCUGUGACAUAGGCCAGUAGCUGCAGCUCCAAUUCCACCCCUAGCCUGGGAACCUCCAUAUGCCUUGGGUGUGGCCCUAAAAAGCAAAAAAAAAAAAAAAAAAAAAAAAAUGUUGAGCAUUAUGUUUUAAUAACUGUAAUAGAGUUUUAUUUUCUUCCUAAGUCUUCCAGAGGACACUUUUGGGGGUGCAAAGACCCCACUAGUGCACCAAACUUAGCUUGUGUCCUCUGCCGUCAUCUGGCAGGUCAGCCUGAUUCCCACAUUCAGAGACUCCCUCCUCCCAGAAAUACUCCCUUCCUGCCACGCCCAAGUCCACGACACCCGUCUCCCUGCUCCUUCUCCCUCUCUGCCUGCCUCUGUCUCUGUGGACGUAGCCUCUUCCCCUGGCUGUUCCAUGUUGGCGAUGCUCACGCCCAGUCCUGGGCUCGCCUUACAUCUGUUCUAUAUUCUCGUCUCAGAGGCUGGAGGCUAAGCCCAAUGCCUGUCAGCACUUCUCUGCUUUCGUGACUUUUGUACCAGGACUGGGCUUGAAUGUAGAUGAGAGGAAACUCCAAGUAUCCGGAGCCUGAAUACUAGAAAAGAGCACUUCUUGUCAGGGAACUGGCCUGCCUGUCACUCUGCCAGUCUCAACAGAGGACUUUUUACCUCAUGGUCCAAGAUGACUUCCUGGGCUCCAGCCAUCACAACCACAUUUCUGUUAGCAGGAAGGAAGAGGUCAGCGGGAAGGACACAGCCUUUCCUUUAGGGGUACUUCACAGAAGUCAUACAUGACACGGCUUACACUUCAUGGGUUAAAAUUCAGUCAGGUGGCCACUCUAGCUCAAGGGAGGUUUGGAAACGUAUGGCGGCCCCUAAAAAUCAGAUGUUCUUCUAAAACGACACAAGGGGUUAGUGGAUGGAGAGCAGGGCACGACUAGUCUUUGCUGCAUCUCCCGGAUACAUACCUUCAGGCCAGGCUUCUCCGUAGCUCCUGCCGCUUUGGUACCCAAGACAUCUCAGAAUCAAAUAUCCAAGGCUGAACGCAUGAGCUCUCCCUAACCUGUGCCACUGCCCUUACUUCCUUCCCCUGGUAAAGGGCACAGCCACCAGUGCAGCCGGCAACUAGGGGCCAUGCCUGGCUCUUAAAACAGAGAGCAUCGUCUGUUUGCAGUUCAUCCUUGCUUCCCCGGGGCAGAGUCCAAUCCCCUGCCCCCUGCCUUUGGGUUUGGCCACUUGUCAUCCUUGGGCUGAUGGUAAAUGAACAGACGCUUGUUCGGCCUUGGCUGGCCGGGGGCUUGAAGGGCACCUGUAUGUUUUUGAUUGGUCUCUUGUCCUUCCACCAUCUGCCAUGGAACCCAGAUAACUGCAGGUUCUAGAAGGAGAGACCUAUGGAUCACCUACGAGCUGAAGCAGAUGUGCCCCAAGCCACCCGCAGACCUGUAACGAGAAAAGUAAGGGGUGGCUGUAACCCUUGAGAAUUUGGGGUUGUUUGUUAUGCAGCAUCACAGUGGAAGCCACUGUAACUGUUGUUUCAUUACAGCAGAAACCUAAUUAGUCUAAUUGUCUUGUACUUCCGUUCCUGCUGCUGCAUUUAGUCCUGUCAGUUUAUCUCAGUAGUAUCUCUGGAAUCUAAUCACAUCUCCAUCUCCAGGGCUGCCGUUAUCUUAGCCCAAGCUGUGGCCACUUUUUGCCUGGACCACUGCAAAACCUCCGGCCUGGGCUCACACCUCUGUUCUGGCCCCUUGGUUCACAGCUCCCCACCCCGCACGCUCCCCCUCCCUCCCCAUUCGGUCCAGGAUGUGAUGGACUCACUUGGGAUAAACUUGAUGCCCCGGAUCUCUUUGGGCCUUUGCUGCCCGGUUCACUGGAUGCUUGGCUCUUGCAUAUCCCUAGAGCUUUGGCUCUCACAGCUCUUAUCUCCGGGCUGGAAGUCAACGGCCAAACCUUGACCCCUGUCUUUGUCUUUGUCAUCCAGGAAAGCGCAGUCCUCAUCCUCUCCGGGCAGAGCCGUGCUGGUUCAGGAGAAAAAAAAAAAAAAAAGCACAGUUAGACAUGAAUCUAUCUGAAAAAUAUCUUGAUGCAUGGUAACGCCACCGUCCCUGUCCCCUGAAAACUCUUCAAUAGCUUCCUGCUGAUCAUAAAGAGCCAAGUCUUCAACAUGGCCCCCAAUGGUCUGGCUUUGACCUUGGCUCUGCUGCUGAACUCCAGCCCCUGCAGCUGCAGUCUGGACCUUGGAGGACUGUGCCCCGUCUCCCAGGCAGGCUUCCCUCCUCUGAGGAGCCCCUCUUGACCCACCCAGUCUCUGUGAUAAACACCCUCAGCCUUACUCCUUUGAUCUGAUCCAUUUCUUUCACUUGUGGGUUAUUUAGCUACCAUCUCGCUCUCCCUGAGUCUAUAAGCUGCAUGAGAACUGAUGUAUCAAUUGCCCUCGGUGAAUGAAUGAAUGAAUGGGACAGAUGGAUAAACGGGUGGGUGCAGGGAUGAGUUACUGGUUAAAGGCAAUCUUGCAACACUAGGUCCUAAUCCACUUGGGUCCAUCAGAGUGAUGGAGGGGCAGACACAGCCGAUGAAUGGUUGGAGUGUACAGCUGCCCAUUUGGGAGGAUUUGAAAUGGAAAAACGAAGUCCUCCUAAAUCACCCGCUUCCGCCCUCUGGAAAUGCUACCACUUAGUGUUAUUCCUCUGUGCUGGUCCUCGAGAAUCUUAGACUGAAAUUCCAACAAUUCUAAGAGAGUUCAGGCACGCAAGCUGUACUUCAGGCUGUGGAAGGCACAGCUGAGCCCUGGAGAUGGGAGGCAGGGAGGAUGGGGAGCAGGACACGUGGGGAGGGAGCUGCAGGGAGGAGGACCCUGGGAGGGAGUCAGGUGCUCCACUCCGGGGUGUCUGCAGCUUCACAGACUUGCCAACAUCCCAUCCCUUUACUUUUAUGCUUCUUGAUCCAGCAACAAGUCAUUUCACUGUUUGGGGUUCUCCCCCCAGGGGACAAGGACACAAACACAAAUGGGGGAACUUCUUUAAAGGCAACUGGAAACACAUGGACACAGAGAUGGGUGGUUCAGCAUCUGAACAGAUCCUCUUGGAAAACUCACUCAUUCAUCCAUUCACUCAUUAAGGAAGUGCUACUGUCGGCCACGUGACUGGCCCUCGGCACUGGAAACUCAGACGGAACCAUGUUCUUACCUCUAUAGAAUAGCUGUUAUUUCCCACACGGGCUUUUGGAGAAAAAGACAGGCAUUCUUCUGGGUCCACCCAGACGCCCCUGGCUCGUGACUGCCUGGAAGCAGAGGGGGGUGGGGAUCUGGGGAAAGUUGGGACGAUAGGGAGAGGAAGCAGUAUUCUCCUUCCCCAUCGUUCUAAAGCUUUGGUGCCAGGACACGGGAAGAGGAGGGGAGAGAGGGAUGGGGUUAGACCCUGGACUCUAGGAAGUGGCAUCACUGUGGUUUGAGUCACUCUGAUGGCCUGAUGCCGGCCUGGAGCACUGAAGCUUUGCUGCCGAGAGAGAAAAGGUGCCUGACCUGCAAAGGAGAGGUGAACGUGCUGGUGAUAUGAAAAUCAGUAAAUCAGCUGCAUCUUGUCUCAUUUCACUUAUUUUUCUUUUGUUUCCGAUAUUCAAUCUCUCCCCUUCCUCAGGUAUGGAAGAGCUGGAACCCGCAUACUCUGGCAUCCUACCCCAACGACGUUCCUUCUAUUUCUUUUCUUACUUUUCUUACACAUUCCUUCCCCCCAGGCCAUUCCAGGGGGCAUGGACAAAAAUAAAGCCAUUCUGCGAUUUCAGUAAAAGCCAUGUCAUCCCUUCCUAAAGCACCGCGCUGCUUUGAAAAAUCAAUAUUCCUCUGCUGGCCAUUUCCCAUAAUGCAGUUUGUUCAACAAACAAAAUUUGAGAAAGCAAAACUUUGUGAGAACAAUUUCAUUCCUCUAAGUUCUCCUUAAUUUCCUACCCUGCAAGGUUUCUAAGACUCUCUCCUCAUUGGUGGCUAAGGAAGGAAGUCCAGAAAAGCUGGCCUUUGAGUUCCCGUCAUGGCGCAGCAGAAACAAAUCUGAAUAGGAACCAUGAGGUUGAGGGUUCGACCCCUGGCCUCACUCAGUGGCUUAGGGAUUCUGCGUGGCUGUGGCUGUGGUGUAGGCCGGCAGCUACAGCUCCCACUGGACCCCUAGCCAGGGAAGCUCCACAUGCCAUGGGUGCAGCCCUAAAAAGAACAACAACAAAAAGUAACUAGAAAGAGCACUUGGCAGAGUCGGGGGAGGAGGCUGAGGGGGGGCGGAAUGGGAGGUGAACAGAGCCCAUUCUCAGGUGGAAGCGAGGGUCCAGGGCCACACAGAAUCACAGUCAUGAAGAGACCCUGACGGUAGCCCCAGGUGGAAUGUACAACACCCCAGCCAGGUGGGGGGACCCCAGGUGCACGCGCUUAGUGACACAGCAGCAGAGAGGGCGGGGGAAGCUUCGCCAGCAGUAAAGCACCCGCACCAGGGAAAGACCGGAGCAUGAAAGCCAAGAGAGAAGAUGCCACGUGCAGGGCAUGGAUGGAGAGAACGCGACCUGGCACCGUGACCCUGAAGCAGAGGGUGGAGAAGAGGACCAGAAGGUGGACUCGGAGACGUACACGAGAAACACCCCGAACGGAACUGACUCUGCAGGCGCAGCGCACAUGCCACGUUCUUGUAGAUUUUGACAUGCAGGGCUCUGUGCCAAGGCAGAUCCUGGAGAAGCUGUCGAACUUGAGGCCUAAAGAAUGCUCCAGGCACCCAGGAAAACACAAAUCAACUACCAAAGACACAAAUGAGACUGACCUCAGAAUUCUUCACAGCAAUCAGAGCCUUAAGAUAUCAGAGCAGGAGUUCCCCGGGGGUUCAGAUGGUCAAGGACCUGGCAUUGUCUCUGUUGUGGCCUGGAUUCAGUCCCUGGCCUGGGAACUUCCACAUGUCAUGGGUGUGACCAAAACAAAACGGCAACAAAAACAUCAAGGGUCACGUCUACCACGUUCUGAAAGAAGUGCAACCUAAGACAAUUACAGCCCAGAGAGGUGUCAGUCAAACGUAAAGGCAGCAGACAGACAUCUUCAGGCAGUACCAUGGGUCUCGCUAAAAGGAUAUUUUACAGGGAAAACUUUCCCACUGAUAGAUGACUUAAUUUAAAAACAAACACCAUCAGGAAUAGGAAGCUUUGAUGAAAGACUGACAGGUGGAUACAAAAUCCACUUAAAUAUGGAGUUGAAGCUGAAUAAUCACAGGACAAUUAUAGAACAAUGUACAUGUUGGCAAUCUCGAAGAUACUCAAAAAUAUAACCCCAAAAAUUCAGAGGGGCUCAAAUGGAAGUAUUACCUUUUUCAUGUUUCAGAGAUGGGAACUGAUCAGUAUUGUCUCAAAUUGAUACAGAAAAUUCUAAAAAGAAACUUUUUUCCCUCAUAAUCACUUUCUUUAAUCCUAGAGGAUUUUUAGGAAACCACACUAUCCUGGUGGAGAAAUGUCCAAACGACAGCAAUUCUGAGUCUCAUUUCAAUUUCUUUUGCUGAAUUCGACUAAAAUUAAAAAGUUUCUAUGCUAUCAUCCCAAGUUUAUAAAAGCAAUUCCACUUAUGAACCGUCUCUGCAAUUGAUAUCAACGGAAAAUACUCAGAUCAUGCUCUUGUUUAUGCGUGAUGGGCUUGGGAGAAUAGAAGACAUCUCUUCACCUUCAGGACUGUCUUUAUAACAAGCAUUUUUAAAACACAACAACGACGAAGGGAUUGUUAAUUUAUUACAGAGGAAAGGCUGGAGGGAGGACGCCGAGUUCCUUCUGGGGGAUGUGAAUGUGGAUGCACCUGUCUUCGGGGAAAAGUCUAGAUUCAGAAUGUUGGCGGGGCUUCCCAGUUUCCUCAAACCUGGUACUUUUCCAGCCUCAGCUUUCAUAUUCCCUCUCCUUCCAAGUCCUGUACUCUGAGCUGCAGCCACUCAGAGCUCCUUGCGAUUUCCUGACCACGCAGCCCUCUCUCAUUUCCAGACCUUUGCAUUUCUGUUUGCUCUGCUCCCAUCAGCGUCCUGCCCUUCCUCUCUGACCCUCUGCCACAUGCUCCUUUUCCUGGGUAAGGUCUACUCAGUUUUGGAAAAAAAAAUUUUUUUCUUUUACUUUUGUUAUAUAUGUAGUACAUAUACAACAUAGAAAUGACCACUUUAGCGAUUUUUAAAUGUGUAAGUUGGGGCAUCAAGAACAUUCCUAGUGUCGUGCAACCAUCACCGCUAUCCAUCUCAUCAUCCUAAACCGAAACUCUGUCCAAGUUAAACAUGAGCUCCCCAUUCCCGGCUUCCUGCAG
rnacentral:lncRNA from 1 species